UACGGAGGGGGCUGGCGUUGGUCGGAAUUACUGGGCGUAAAGGGUCUGUAGGUGGCCAACUAAGUCAGACGUGAAAUCCCUCAGCUUAACUGGGGAACUGCGUCUGAUACUGGAUGGCUCGAGUGUGGGAGAGGAAUGCGGAAUUCCAGGUGUAGCGGUGAAAUGCGUAGAUAUCUGGAGGAACACCGGUGGCGAAGGCGGCAUUCUGGACCAUAACUGACACUGAGAGACGAAAGCCAGGGGAGCAAACGGG
rnacentral:rRNA from 1 species